rnacentral:lncRNA from 1 species
CUGGCGCCGGCCCGCUCGUAGGCAAUGCCUGGCCCGGAGAAGAAAAUCACGAAACGGUGGUUGAACCUGAUCAAUUACAGCGGCCUCACCUCCCUGUAGCGUAGAGGAAUUUCCCCUCUAACGGUCGAACGACUACGGCGCAUAGAUUUCCAACCACUGAUCGAUAAAGUGGCGAGCAAACUGUCAAAGCGGAAGGGAAGGAACCUCACGCAGGCCGGCCGAUUAUGCCUCACCAAGUCUGUCCUAUCCUCACAACCCGUCUACACCCUAACGGCCCUCAGAACGCCCAAAGAAGUACCAGAGGACAUCGACAAAAUAAGAAAACGUUUUCUAUGGGCGGGAGACAACGAGCUUACCGGGGAAAAAUGCAAGAUCAACUGGACGAGGACAACUUUACCGAAAGAGCAUGGCGGCGUUGGAAUUCUAGACCUUCAUAAAUUCGCAAGAGCGCUCCGCCUUAGAUGGCUAUGGCAUGAAUGGGCUUCCCCGGACAAGACGUGGGUCGGAACCGAAACACCAUGCGACGACUGAGAUAGACUGCUUUUCGCUGCAUGUACGACGAUCCAAAUCGGCAAUGGGGACAAGACACGUUUCUGGCAGGAUGCGUGGGUAGCAGGCUGGCGACCAAAGGACAUCGCUCCACAACUCUACGCAAAAACCAAAAGGAAAAAGAAGACAGUGCGAGAGGCAAUCCACAACAACAACUGGAUCAGAGAUCUUCAACACACAACAGGCCUUACAAACACCCUCUUGAACGAAUUCGUAGACCUAUGGCCUCUGAUCCAACAGUACCAAUUAAACCCGAGUCAGGAGGACGGAAUUACAUGGAAAUUCACCCAGAGCGGUCAAUACACCACCGCUUCAGCAUAUAAGGCUCAACUCCUAGGUAGCGUGAAGGCGACUAAUCUUGCAACAGUGUGGCAAGCCUGGACACCAGCAAAAUGCAAAGUUUUCGUCUGGCUAAUUCUCCAAAAUAGGGUCUGGACUUCGGACAAACUAGCAAAACGGGGCUGGGACCACACCCCAACAUGCACCCUAUGCCGAUGCACGAUGGAGACUGCGCAUCAUCUCCUAGCCGAAUGAAGAUACACAAAGCAAAUUUGAAAACUCGUGGCCCAAUGGUUGUCACAAGAAAGCCUGCAACCGGGUCAAUGAAAGCACAGCAUAACGGCCAUAGAUUGGUGGACCAAUAUCACAUCAACAAUAGGAAUCCCGCGUAAAGCGUCCCGAAACCUCGCCCUCCUCAUUAUGUGGGAAAUAUGGAACGAGCGAAACUCCCGUAUCUUCCGCCACCAGGGUUCCCCGAUGACAUCACUAAUGACGAAAAUCAAAUCCUCAACCAACAUGUGGGUAGCAGCGGGAGCGAGAGGCCUAGCGGCCCUUCUUUACUAAACACAACACUCUGGGUGCCUCCCUGCUCUUUUUUCCUUUUCCUUUUUCCCCUCCUCUAUGAAUGAAAUAGGCACACUCUCGUGCCCUCUUCCGUUCAAAAAAAAUUACAGCGGCCUCCACGCGAGUGCGGCGUUGUACCGUUGAGCACCGGCCGCCGCCACUCGAUGGCCUACUGCGGUCGCCAAGAAGGCGCCCGCGAGCGGCGCCGGCAUUGGCACGGCCACUCAGGGCGAAGUGACGAGUCGAGCUCGAGCACCGAUGCGGGCGGGGUGACUGGAUGGCGCACGCACGCAUGAGUUGGCGUCGUCCGCAUGCUCAGGGAGACUGCGCACAGGCGAAGGUGAGGCC